UGGAGAUUCACGCGCUUCGCCGCAACACACUCAUAUUUGUGAACCACAUGUAGCACUUCUUUAUACGCAUCUGUGCAAGCGAAGCGAGAGCCUAGAAGACGCUGCUCAUAUUUGGUCCUCACGUUGGACUUUAUUGUCUCUGGACGUACAAGCCAACAGUGAAUGCGUCCCCACUGGAAGUAACAUCAAGGGUCAAAAUCCUCACAGGGAAGACGGACAAAAGAGAUGAUUGGUCUGCAAGCUGGCCACGCCAAGCCAUGAGAAGCUCAACGGUCACCGUAAUGACAACAGGUCCUCUUGAACUACGUGCCUCACCAUGAAAUGUU